ACGAACGCUGGCGGCGUGCCUAAUACAUGCAAGUUGAGCGCUGAAGGUUGGUACUUGUACCAACUGGAUGAGCAGCGAACGGGUGAGUAACGCGUGGGGAAUCUGCCUUUGAGCGGGGGACAACAUUUGGAAACGAAUGCUAAUACCGCAUAAAAACUUUAAACACAAGUUUUAAGUUUGAAAGAUGCAAUUGCAUCACUCAAAGAUGAUCCCGCGUUGUAUUAGCUAGUUGGUGAGGUAAAGGCUCACCAAGGCGAGGAUACAUAGCCGACCUGAGAGGGUGAUCGGCCACAUUGGGACUGAGACACGGCCCAAACUCCUACGGGAGGCAGCAGUAGGGAAUCUUCGGCAAUGGACGAAAGUCUUACCGAGCAACGCCGCGUGAGUGAAGAAGGGUUUCGGAUCGGAAAACUCUGUUGGUAGAGAAGAACGUUGGUGAGAGUGGAAAGCUCAUCAAGUGACGGUAACUACCCAGAAAGGGACGGCUAACUACGUG
rnacentral:rRNA from 1 species